CCGAGCCCCAUGGAGCAGGCAAGCGCCGGAGUCCCGGGGCCGAGGCCCGGUCGGCGGGCGCUCUGGCACCUUUUCCCGCCCCCGAGGGUGCCUGUCCGGCCCGGCCGGGACUGGCUGGGAAACCGAGGCCGGAAGAGGUCGCAGUCCAGCAAGGAAUCGAUACCUGAAUGGAGUGUUCUCUUGCUCUCUUCAGGGAAUUUUGUCUGGUUCAAGAAGUCAUACCCCAGCCCAAGAGAAGCCCUGGACAUCUCUCAAGACAUCCAAGGGACAGAGCUCCUGGGAGACCUAGAGUGAGCUGGAAAGUGAACAACAGACCCCACUGGGAAGUAACCAGCCCUGGAUUCUGCCUCUUGCUAACUGAUUCAUUUUGAACCCUGUUUUUCUAUCUGUCCAAGGGACUGUAACUCCCCUGCUCCUGCCUAGAUUCUCAUACCUGGAGACUAGGGGGCUAAGACCCCUUCUAGAGAUAAAAAUAAAAGUCAU
rnacentral:antisense_RNA from 1 species